GCCUGGGUGGCUCAGUUGGUUAAAGCAUCUGACUUUGGCUCAGGUCAUGAUAUUGCGGUUUGUGAGUUCGAACCCCAUGCUGGGCU
rnacentral:tRNA from 1 species